rnacentral:rRNA from 1 species
GUGGGGAAUAUUGGACAAUGGGCGAAAGCCUGAUCCAGCCAUGCCGCGUGUGUGAAGAAGGUCUUCGGAUUGUAAAGCACUUUAAGUUGGGAGGAAGGGCAGUAAGUUAAUACCUUGCUGUUUUGACGUUACCGACAGAAUAAGCACCGGCUAACUUCGUGCCAGCAGCCGCGGUAAUACGAAGGGUGCAAGCGUUAAUCGGAAUUACUGGGCGUAAAGCGCGCGUAGGUGGUUCAGCAAGUUGGAGGUGAAAUCCACGGGCUCAACCUGGGAACUGCCUCCAAAACUACUGCGCUAGAGUACGGUAGAGGGUAGUGGAAUUUCCUGUGUAGCGGUGAAAUGCGUAGAUAUAGGAAGGAACACCAGUGGCGAAGGCGACUACCUGGACUGAUACUGACACUGAGGUGCGAAAGCGUGGGGAGCAAACAGGAUUAGAUACCCUAGUAGUCC